rnacentral:misc_RNA from 1 species
AUUUAGCUAGGCAGGUAAUAAAUAACCAACGACCUGAAAGUCUCAUCCUCUAAAAUCUGAUUGACUUUGGUGGAACUUCACAUUUCUCAUACUGAAAAUAAAAUAACAAAAAAUGAAAGAAAAAAAAAACUAAUAAAAAUUCCAAUCACAGGAACAUUAUACUUCUUCUAAUCAUAGCCUUUUUCAUUCCCUUUCAAUCUUUCUUUUUCUUGCCUUCCCAAAAAGAACUUAUUUUUAUUUGGCUUUUUUCUUCCCUUUUUUGGUGAAAUUAUCCAUACAGAAUUAUACCAAAUUUCAUUGGAAUUUCCUUUCUUUUUCUAUUUUGGGACAACUGAUCAAGCCCCUUUUCCCAUCAAUUCAGAUUCUUUUUUAAUAUAGGAGGAGGAGGAGGAGGUAUUAAAUGGCCAGCAGCUGUUUGUAAUUUAUGUUUUCUGGUGUUUUUUGAAGGCGGGAGAUGUCUAUGCGACAGGAGAAUUCUGAUGGAACUACUUCUUCCCUGCAAGAUCUCUUAUUUUCAGACAAACACAGUUGGAGCAAGAAGGAUCGGCACAAAAUUUCUGGUAAUCUGCAAAAUUUCUUGUUGAAAAACUCUUCACUUUUUGAUAGCAUUCUAAACUUCUGUUUGUCCUUAAUCCACAUGGAGAUAGAUAGGAUAUAUAAAUUGAGCUUUACUGUAGUAUUUGUCAUAUCUGGAACUUAUAGGGGUCAUUUCUUACAUGCCUGGUUUGGUUUUCUGCUGAAAUAUCAUUAUCCUUUGGGCCUAUUCCAAACACUUUUCUGUUGGAUAUAAACUUGUUUUCUUCGUUAACCAGGUCCACAACGAAAACUGGAGAAACUGCUGAGUCAAUCAGGAAAUAAGAUUUGUGCAGAUUGUGGAUCACCAGAUCCGAAAUGGGUGUAAGUUGUUUGGUUUGAGCUAGAAGAUUUUUUUUCCCUAGCUUUAUUUGCUCAACCAAAAGAUGAGCUGGUGUUUAUGAGAGACAGUUUUUACUGCUGUCUGGAUGUUAUAUUGACUAUUUUGCCUUUUGAUUGAGUUGUUUGGUAUGUGUCAGGUCCUUAAGUCAUGGAGUAUUUAUUUGUAUCAAGUGUUCUGGUGUUCAUAGAAGCCUUGGAGUACAUAUAUCAAAGGUGUUGUUUUGCAAUUUCACUCCUUAUCCCGCUUCAGGAUUGCAGACCGUUUAGUCUUGUGCUACUUUGAUUUAAUACUGUGGCUCUUUAUACUGUCUUACUGAUUUCAUUUUAAGUGGGUUGAAAGAAGAAGAGGAAACUUCAAUGAAUCCUGGACAGUAGCAGUAGGCUUUAGAAGUAGACCUUUUUAUAUUGUUUUGCUCUUUUCCCAUAUUUAUUUUGGUAGGUUGAUGCUCUAAUUUCUUCCUUAUAUUAUGCCAGGUUCUAUCAAUCAAACUAGAUGAAUGGACAGAUGAACAAGUGAAUGAUUUCAUUGAUUUGGGUGGCAAUACUAUAGCAAACAAGAAGUAUGAAGCUUGCAUUCCAGAUGAAUACAGAAAACCAACGCCAGAUGCCUCUAUAGAUGAGCGAUCUGAAUUCAUUAGGAGAAAAUAUGAGCAUCUUCAAUUUUUGGGCACUGAUGAACAAAUCAUCUGCACUCAACGACCCAGAAGAACUUCAUCUGCCCAUACCAGUUCUUCCCAAGAGAAGCAAGAGAAGAAGCAGUAUGACAAGCAAGCGACAAGACAUCGUAUUGGGAAUGCAUUCCGUAACAGCUGGGGAAGAAAAGAUUCUGAGUACAAGAACUCAAAAAAGAACACCUCUAUGGUAAUGAUUUCCUACUUCAUUAGUUACCCUUUUAUCAGCAAAGUCUAACGACCAUGAAUUUUCACCUUCCCACUGCAAAAAAAUUUGUUACCAAUAUGCUUUAUAGUUGAAUUUCAUUUUCAUUUACUGAAUCUGGUUGCUUGAAAUAUGAUGUUUAUAGGCAGCUAUGGUUGAAUUUAUUGGAUUAAUCAAGGUUAAUGUGGUAAGAGGAACUAAUCUAGCAGUACGGGAUGUGGUAACUAGUGACCCAUAUGUCAUCUUAGCACUGGGUCACCAAUCUGUAAGAACUCGCGUCAUAAAGAACAACCUGAAUCCAGUUUGGAAUGAGAGUCUAAUGCUGUCGAUCCCAGAACAUAUUCCUCCUCUAAAACUGCUUGUCUACGAUAAAGAUACAUUCACCACUGAUGACUUCAUGGGUGAGGCAGAAAUAGACAUUCAACCUCUGGUUGCUGCUGCCAAAGCCUACGAAACUUCUACAAUCACCGAGCCAAUGCAGCUUGGCAAGUGGGUAGCAAGCAAGGAUAACACUCUAUUGAAAGAUGGUGUCAUCACAUUAGUAGAUGGGAUAGUAAAACAAGAUAUAAGCCUCAGGCUGCAAAAUGUCGAGAGGGGGGUGCUAGAAAUUGAGCUGGAAUGUGUUCCUCUUACUCAAUAGUUAUACCAGAAACUCAAUUCCCAUCUACUGGAAAAUGCAUUAUAGGAACAAAUGUUUAUCCUGCUGCUAUUCUUGUAUACUGCUAUACAGUCCUUGUUUACAGGGUAUCUUAGAAUUUUCACCGAUGAUUUUGUGGAUAGUUUGUGAACUUUUGUAGUUACUAAUUACAAUUCAAAAUGUUAAUUAGGUUGAGCAGCCCCAGUACAGUAAAAUUGCUGGUUUGCUGGCAGCUCUAUAAUUAUAAACAUUGUAAUCAGUCAUAUUUGCUGAACCUUGUUCCUGAAAGACAAAUCAUUGUUUAGUUCAGUAUUUUGCAGGUUUCCUGACGAUGACCAUAAAAAUAACAAG